AGCUUCAGUAGCGUAUAUUAAAGUUGUUGCAGUUAAAAAGCUCGUAGUCGCAUUUCUGGCGAGAGGAUCCGGUCCGACCUUUUGGUGGGUUCUUGGGUCUCUUUCGCCAUCCUUGAGUGGUCCGUUCUGGCAUUAGGUUGUCGGAGCGUCAGCCGCUCAUCGUUUACUGUGAGAAAAUUAGAGUGUUCAAAGCAGGCUUAUGCCGUUGAAUAUAUUAGCAUGGAAUAAUAAGAUAGGACCUCGGUACUAUUUUGUUUGUUUGCGCACCAAGGUAAUGAUGAACAGGGACAGUUGGGAGUAUUUGUAUUUCGUUGUCAGAGGUGAAAUUCUUAGAUUUACGAAAGACAAACUACUGCGAAAGCAUUUACCAAGGAUGUUUUCA
rnacentral:rRNA from 1 species